GAUGAAGAACGUAGCGAAAUGCGAUACUUGGUGUGAAUUGCAGAAUCCCGUGAACCAUCGAGUCUUUGAACGCAAGUUGCGCCCGAAGCCACUAGGCCGAGGGCACGCCUGCCUGGGCGUCACACGCCGUUGCCCCCCCAUCUACUCCUUCGGGAUUGCGGGGGGGCGGAUGAUGGCCUCCCGUGUGCCUAGCCGCGCGGUUGGCAUAAAUACCAAGUCCUCGGCGACGCACGCCACGACAAUCGGUGGUUGCGAAACCUCGGUUGCCCGUCGUGUGCGUUCGUCGCGCAUCGAGGGCUCGAAAAAAUGCUCGGCUCCGGCUGGGCUUUCAACGCGACCCCAGGUCAGGCGGGGUUACCCGCUGAAUUUAAGCAUAUCAAUAAGCGGAGGA
rnacentral:misc_RNA from 1 species